UACGGGGGGGGCAAGCGUUAAUCGGAAUUACUGGGCGUAAAGCGUGCGUAGGCGGUUCUCCAAGUCCGUUGUGAAAGCCCCGGGCUCAACCUGGGAAUGGCAGUGGAAACUAGGGGACUGGAAUCUGGCAGAGGGGGGUGGAAUGCCGCGUGUAGCAGUGAAAUGCGUAGAGAUGCGGCGGAACACCGAUGGCGAAGGCAGCCCCCUGGGCUGAGAUUGACGCUCAGGCACGAAAGCGUGGGGAGCAAACAGG
rnacentral:rRNA from 1 species